ACGGAGGAUCCAAGCGUUAUCCGGAAUCAUUGGGUUUAAAGGGUCCGUAGGCGGUUUAAUAAGUCAGUGGUGAAAUCUGGUCGCUCAACGAUCAAACGGCCAUUGAUACUGUUAGACUUGAAUUACUAGGAAGUAACUAGAAUAUGUAGUGUAGCGGUGAAAUGCUUAGAUAUUACAUGGAAUACCAAUUGCGAAGGCAGGUUACUACUAGUGGAUUGACGCUGAUGGACGAAAGCGUGGGGAGCGAACAGGAUUAGAUACCCUGGUAGUCCACGCCGUAAACGAUGGAUACUAGCUGUUGGGGGCAACUUCAGUGGCUAAGCGAAAGUGAUAAGUAUCCCACCUGGGGAGUACGUUCGCAAGAAUG
rnacentral:rRNA from 1 species